CGGCCCCCCCGAGGCAGAUUACGAAACGCAGCGGAGUCGGAGACUCCUCCCAGCCAGGCCUUCAGUCCCAUGUGGCCCUGUCAGAGGGGCUGGGCGGCUUUCUCAACAGCGUCCUCAUCUGAGGGAAAUUAUCACUUAUUUUGUUUUAUUGUAUUUUUUUUUUUAACAAAUAUCUGAAAGGAAUUGCAACAUUAUAACUUUUUUAACAGGCAGGCUUCGGUGUGGGUCAGAAGACACCAGAGCCCGUUCGGUGAGACUGAGACCGUGAAGGAAGAGUGAGUCACCAACCCAACUUCCUCUCCGCUCACAUAGCAACCCGGGCAGGAGGAGAUCGUGGGGGAUUUUUCGUGGGUAAACAAGAGUGACUAACCGGCUCAUAUCGCAGCAAUAACUGCUUUGAUAUUUCGCAGGGCUAGAAGCUUCUAGAAGAGUUGAGGGCUCAAUAAAGACUGUUGUCUACAGUGGUUUUUUUCUGUAUCUGACAACGGAUUCCGUGUGGACAGUUGUCAUCCUGAGACGUCGGAUAAGAGGAGCCGUCAGCACGCGGGGCGCUGGUGACCUACCGUCUGACUUCCAAGGAGGAAGGGGCCGGGAAACGAAAGGGGUCCCAAAGACCAGGGCACGUGAAGGGAGAAGAAAACCGAUUGAGUUCAUUGGAACCAAGUUUGCGAAGGAGGAGUGUUGCCGUCUGGGUUUGAAAACCUUUGAAUGUGCAGGAGUGAGUCAGGCGGAAUCAGGGGGGUCUGGCUGGUGCCCAGAAUAUCGUUGGCGUGUUGUCAGGACUCUUGAUGACAGACUUGGGUUCUGCGUACCGGGGCGCACUGGGUGCUCUUAAUGAUGAAGUUCUAGAACCUAGGUGAGGUUCGGUGGGCUGAGGUCUGGAGCCGAUGAUCAAGAAAGAAUUCUUGAGAGCAAAAUGGUGGUUUAUUAAAGCUCGGGGAAGGACCAGUGGGCCGGAAGAGCUGCUGCCCCGGGUAGUGAGGGGUGGCGGUUGGGGGAAGGUGAGCGGAAGGGAGGCUUCAAUGGAGCUUUCAUACGCUAAAGAGGCCCUACCGGGUGUGGGGAUACCGGCCUCGGGCUUGACGGUUGUUGUCUUUUGGCCGGCCAUUAACAUCCACAUCCUUGGGAGAUUCCUGGUGGGCUGUCACAAUCCUGCUAUCAAGCGUCUUUGUUAGUGAGAUUUAGGUUUGGAAGAGAUUUAACUGUAUUUACGUUCCCUUCUACUUCAGCCUCCUUCAGUUUUGUUUAUGGUGGGGAGGAUGACAUUAGGGUUUGAGGAACUGAGUUAUUUGCCUCUGGAAAUUGUGCUAUUGAUAAGGUAACUUCUUUGUUUGUAGAUCUCUAAGACAUUUGUAAGCCAAGGGAGACUCAGGUCUUGCAGGACUGUGCUCUCAGCAAGUUAACUCUUUGUUUUUCUUUUAGGGCCGUCAGGGGUGCCUGAGGAAUGUCACCUGUAUUACCGAGGGGAGGAGGGGAGGGCAGCAGGUGGAGAGGGGGUGCCAGGUGCCAGCCUUUGCUCCCUCAUCAUUAACAUGAGGAGUGGAGGGAUGCUGGGGAGGUCAGAGGGCCCCAAACCAGAGGCCAGGAGGCAGAGGACAGGAAUAUCCAUAAUUCAGGAUGUUUUCUUUUCCCUGUACUAGAAACUAACUUCCGUGGGGGUGAUGCCGUCCAUUGUUUCUCCAGUGAAAACACACAGGCUACUGGCCCAAAGGGAAGGCAGAACAAGACUCCUACAUCCUUAUGAUGUAGGUUCACAAUCUUCAUAAAAGCUCUGGAAGCCGCAGCCAGCAAAGGAUUCUUGAGACAUCUUUGGAGCAAAAAGGUGAUUUUUAUUAAAGCACAGGGACCGGACCCCUGGGCAGAAAGAGCCCUGCGCUGGGGUUGUGAGGAAUGGUGGAUUAUAUACUAGGGAGUUGGGGGAGGUAAGACAAAAGGGAGGCGUCCAAAAGGACUUUGAAAUGUUCAAGACCCUCAGGAUACUGGAGGCCUGGCUGUUGGCAAGCUAAAGCAGUUUUCCCGUCUAGCAAAGCAAUCACGUGGGGAUGGUUGGGAGUUUCCCAGUGGAAGCAUUCUAUCCUCUCCCGUCUCUAGUCCUUGUCUGCAGGCUACAGGUCAGGAAGAAAUUUAACUUUGUUUACGUUUCCUUCUGCCUCAGUUUCCCACAUCACUUGUGGAAGGGAGGGUGAUGUUAGGGCUCUAGGAAAUGGAGUUAAGGGUCUCUGAAACUUAGCCUAUUGAUGUGUAAAUGAGUAAGACAUCAGGAAGACGGAGGGAGCCUCCUGUCUUGCUAGACUGUGAUCUCCAUUAGUUAAUCAGUUCCCCCCCCCCCCUUCCCUGAGCUUUAGGGCAGCUGGGAGUGUCUGAGGAAUGGCACACGUGUCCAAGGGUGGGGACAUGUCACACAUAUCCAAAGGUGGGGCUGGGUGGUCGCGGGGUGUAGCUAGUGCUCUGUCCUCCGCUUGCUUUCUGCUCCCUCAUCACAUCGGUGCACUUAGAAGGAUAAAAGCAAACCAAAGAGUGAAAAACAGAUGCACCUUUGCCCUGACUCCUAGUCAGUGGUCCAGCAGUUGGUGACUUGGGUCAUUCUAGAAAUCCACGUUGAUUUAUCAGGCCCUCAACCCAGUGAAAGAUCAGUGUUCCAGAAUUUGCAAGGCUUCCUUGUAAUGAUACCAGCCCACUGGGAGAUGGAAGAACUCUUAAUAUUGGGGGUGGGAAUGUCUGGGAAAUGUGCGUGACCUCCUGUCAUCUCAAGUCCUCUUCCCAAGUGCUGACUGAGAAGACCCCUUAAAAUCCUCAGGCAAGAGUCACCACCAGGUUGAUGCCCUUUGUCUGUGUUGCUGACAGAGAGGUCUCCUACGGGGAGGAGCUAGAGCAGGGAGAGGGCAUCCGCACCGAGAAAUAACGGGCAGGUCCUUAAAUUCCGUCUUAGACCUGGGGCUGCAGAUGAAGGUCUAGCGAGCUGGAGUUUCAGAGACGAAAACUGGAGGGCGGGUGGCGGGCAUCGGGCCGAGCACCGUCCAAUCGGAACUCCCCACCUCUGGUACUUCAGGGCCCGAACAAAACCUGUUCCUGAGCCAACCAAGCUAUUUACAUGUUUACCAAGUUAUCCGGCACAGGAAUUAGUAUCUUGUAAGAACCAACACUUGGCUGUAUUAAUUUUCGUUGUGUUUUGUGUCUAUUUUACUGUUUGUUUGCUGUUUACUCCUUUGUUUUGUCUGUUUACCUCUGUUUCACAAUAUACAAAAUCAGAUUUGUGCAUCGACUUCUGUUUAUAGCUUUGUUACUUCUAUAUACUACUUAUCAUUUGCUUUGCUCCUUUUUUCCCCUAAUGUUGGAAGACGUCAAUUUCUAUCAAUUAGAUUAGUACUCUCUUCUUUUAAAUUAAAACACUUGAAAAGUAAUGUUUUUUCUCUUAGCACUACUUUUGCCUGGCUCCCUACGUCUUAAGGGAUGUGAUUUUAUCAUCCCCGAUCAUCUUUGGCAUUAAGUAAUGGCUUAUUAUGAAAUGUGCUACAUGAUCUCAAGCAAGUUGAAAAUGUUCUAGAUAUUGUAAUAUUGAUUUCUAAUUUAGUCUUGUUGCGGUCAUGAAAUAUGCUCUUAAGAUUUCAGAGGUGAGCUUUAAUGAGACUCACUUUAAGUCCCUGCCUAUGUCUUACUUUGAUGAGCAGAAAGGUGUUUUUCUUCUUGUUCUAUCAGUUACUGUGUCAGAGUUUUUAAGUAUCCAUGAUUGUUGAUUUAUCUUAUACUGUAUUAAUGCUAUUAAGUUUUGCUUUCUAAUUGGAAGCUUUAAUUAGAUGCAUUUUAUGAGUGGCUAUAAAUUUCUGAUAAAUUGGCCAAGAUAAUUCUCAAGCUUCUCUUUUUGUCCUGUCUCUAACCUGCUUUCUCUGACUCAUGUCAGAGCUUGGCUUAGCCUUAGUUAAAGUGGAUUUGUGUAACUCCCACGCUGUUUUCCUGCUCCUGCUUAUUUGUCAUGACUCAAACUCAGACUCAUGUCAGGGAUUGGUCUGGGUUUUCUUGGGGUGUGUUUCAUAACAGCCCCUGCUCUGGUGCUUGGGCCUUCUUCCCAGGAUUCAGGCUCUCGGGUGUCAAGCUGGAUGACAAGAGUUUCUGUCUCCGCUUCAGCCAUCUGAUAUGUUCCCCAGCACUGUUGGCCAUCUUGUGCCUCGACUGCUUUUCAGCUUUAUUGACAUGUCACAGACACAUAACGCUGUGUACCUUUAAGGCAUAUGUGUUGAUUUGAUACACUUACAUGUUGCAAAAGGAUUGACCUGAGCCUUAUCUAAUACCUCCUUCAUAUCACUUAAUUGCCAUCCUCGCUUGUGCUGAGAACAUUCGAGGUUUGCUCCCUCAAAUAUGUGAUCUGCGUUGUUGACUGCAAUCAUGAUGCUGUGUAUCACACCCCCAGAACCCGCUCAGUUUAUACCUGCCAGUUUGAGACUUGACCAAUAUCUCCUCAUUUCUCUGCACCUACCCAGCUCCUGGUAAGCUACACUCUACUCUUUCAGUGAGUUCAGCUUUCUUUCUUUCUUUUUUUUUUUUUGGAUUCUACAUAGAAGUGAGAUCAUCCAGCAUUUGUCUUCCUCUGUCUGAAUUAUUUCGCUUAGCUUAAUGCUUUCUAAAUCCAUCCAUCCAUGUGGUCACAGAUAGCAAGAUUUCCUUCUUCAUGGCUGACUAAUAUUCUACUGUGCAUAGACAUCGCAUUUUCUUUAUCCAUACACCACUGAUGGACACGUAUGUUGUUUCCAUAUUUUACCUAUUGUGAAUAAUGCUCCAAUAAACAUGGAGGUGACGUAUAUCUCUUUGAUAUCCUGUAGUCCCCUUUGGAUAUAUACCCAGAAGUCGGAUUGCUGGGUCAUAUAGUAGUUCCAUUUUCAGUUUUUUGAGGAACCUCUAUCCUGUUUCUGACCAUGGCUACACCAGUUUGCAUUCCACUGACAGUGCACGAAGGUUCCCUUUUCUACAACUUUGCCAGCAUGAUUAUCUCUCAUAUCUUUGAUAAUGGCCAUUCUAACAGGCAUGAGGGGACAGCUCAUUGUAGUUUUUGGUUUGCAUUCCCUGAUGACUGAUGUUGAGCAUUUUGUCAUGUACCUGUUGGUUAUUAAUAUGUCUCCCUUGGAAAAAUGUCUGUUUAGUUCAACUGCCCAUCUUUGAAUGGGCAGAUCUGGGGAUGGAACUCAGUAUUUCCCUGCAGCUGGAGAUGGGGAAGCAUCUUCCAAAAUAUUGGCCUCUCUGUAUAAAACAGCGAUCGUGCUUCUUCCAGAGAAACCAGUGACACAAAUGCUCCCCUUCAGAGAGCAUAAGUGCAGAAAGGAGUUAUUUUUUGUGGGGGGAGGAAACUGAAUAAAACUUUCUCCAGGGCCCAGGAUUCACUGAUCUUCAGAUAGGCUGUGGUAUACACAGUGUACCGGGAACAGAAGAGACAGGUGACUUGGAGCCCAUCAAAAUGAGAAACUUGAGUGCAUCAAACUACGAGAGCAACAGAGUGAAAAGGAAACCUUUUCCUUUGGAAAGACAGAAACUGUUUGUGAAUUCUGUAUCCGCCUGUGAGGAAUUAAUGCAGAAACACCACUACUAAUCAGUGAAACACAGAUUGUAAGGACCUAUUUUAUAUUUUUAUUUUAGCCAGAGGCUUCCCCUGAGGUUCAACAAUAACUUUGUGGUUUAACCCCUAGACUGUCCCUGCUCCCCUUCCCCCAGGGGACUUAAAAACGAGUCCUGGAAACCAGCUCCAGGUGUGGAGGCCAAGAAAAGCAAGGCUGUACCCACCUCGGGUCUGGCCCUGACAUAAGCACAGCCAUCCUGGCAAAGCAAAGCCAGCACCUUGCGCUGUAAGAGUGGGUUAGCAUCAGAAUGGCCACCCUGAGGACCGGGAAGCCAUUUGACUGAGCGUCCCUAACCAGCCCACAGGGUGCCCAUAACUUGAGAUAAGAGAAAGUAGCUAAAACCUAAGAAACAAGUUAACCAUAUACCACCACAGGGACCAAAUGUUGAAGAAAAACAAAUAGUUCACUUGCAGAGGUCACAAUCCUGCUAGACUGGAGUCUCCCUUGGUUUGCAAAUGUCCCGGUGAUUUACAACAAAAAGGGCCAUCUCUUGAAUGGCCCAAUUUCCAGAGACAGAUUGCUCAGUUCCUCAAGGCCUACGGUCGCCCUCCCCACCAUAAAACUGAAGGAGGCUGAGGCAGAAGGAAAUGUAAAUAAAGUUAAAUUUCUUCUAAACCUAAAUCUCACUUAUUCUAAACCUAAGUCUCACUUAACCGCCAGGAGGGCGCCAGGGUGACGCUGGGGUGGCAAAAGGUUAAACAAAGUUAAACUGUCAAAGGGGGGCACAAGAGAUGUAUGUAGCUGUGAAGAAGUGCCUUGAAAAUGCUACAUCAACCCUUGGCUUGGAGUGCUCGGGGGCCUUGUUGAAACCCGCUGCGCUGGGCGGAUACUUGGACCCCAGCGAGCUGGAAAUAAACCUCACUGUGUGACUUGCAUUGUCGAGAGUGUUCUCUGUCUAACUGAGGGUGGUCAACUCCAUACCCUAACAAGGUGACCGACCUGGUUUAAAAAUGGGCAAAGACUUUGAAUAGACUUUUUUUCAAAAACGCUCUACGAAUGGACAAUGAUCAUAGGAGAAAAUGGGCCCUAAUACUUGAUACUCAUUGAAUAGUCCUUAUGGAAAUGAAAGUCAACACAGUGAGCUACCACAACAGGCCCGCCAGGACCGCUGCUCCCAAACAGAAAACAGCAAGAACCAUCAGGAUUCAGACAAGUCACAACAACCCUUGUGCACUGUGGCUGGACAUGUAGAACAAGGCAGCCAUUAUGCAGAGAAUAUGAAGCCUCGUAGAAAUUAGAAAUAGAAUCAUUGCGAUCCAGGAAUUCCAGUGCUAGGCUCAGAGCCACAAAGUGAGAGCAGAAUCCGAAAGGAACAGCGACAGACCUUGGAUAUCCCAGCAGCCUUCGCAGGAACCCAGACAUUGGAGCAACGCAAGUGUCCGUGAACGGGUGAGUGGGUUAAUAAAGCGCGGUGUGUGAUGCAAUGGAAUAUCAAUAAUUCCACCUUAAAAAGGAAGGAAAUUCUCAUUACGGUCAGUGCAUUCCUCAUCCCACCCCCAACCUCCCCCACGCCCUUCCCAUCUCCCCUCUGACAACCACCACUUUGUUCUUUGUAUCUAAGAGUCUCCUUUUUCUUGUACAUCUGAAACUGCUGUACCACCAUAUACUAUGAUACUUGAAUGAAAAUAAAUAAAUACAUAAAUGUGAUCAUUUAUAGGAGAAAGGAAAAAAAAAAAAGAAAGAAAGAAAAUUCUGGCACCUGAUCAACCUGGAUAAACUUUGAGGACAUUAUGCUCAGUGAAGUAUGACAGUCACAAAAAGACGAAUACUGUAUGAUUGCGGUUGUAUGAGUACAUAUACUUGCACAGAUGGGCAAGCUAUCUGUAAAAUACACCACUGAAAUCAAGAGAAUGACAAUGAGAAAUGGACACACUCACCCUCAGAAGGGGUGGUUUCACCGUCUCCACUGCUGAAAGAACAAGGAUGUGGAAUCCCAGGCUGGUAAACUCUUCGCAAGCACACAUGGAAUAGUAACAGAAUGUUCUCCACGUGCCAGGCCACACAAAGUCAACGUGUACCCCCAAGCCGGGUCAUGUGUUUAAAACUCUCUCUUCCUUACCCCUUGGCACCAGGGCAAGUUGUCUGUGACGCAGUGAAGGAGGAACCAUCCAAAAAGGGUUGAGAAUGCCUCUGUCCCUUGUAGUAGAAUGAAACUCAAAACAAAAUUAAAGACUCGAGAAAAAGUAAAGAAGCUA